rnacentral:rRNA from 1 species
UGGCGGACGGGUGAGUAACGCGUGAGCAACCUGCCUUUCAGAGGGGGAUAACGUUUGGAAACGAACGCUAAUACCGCAUGAGACCCCGGCAUCACAUGGUGCAGAGGUCAAAGGAGCAAUCCGCUGAAAGAUGGGCUCGCGUCCGAUUAGAUAGUUGGCGGGGUAACGGCCCACCAAGUCGACGAUCGGUAGCCGGACUGAGAGGUUGAACGGCCACAUUGGGACUGAGACACGGCCCAAACUCCUACGGAAGGCAGCAG